AUCGUUUGUGUUUAUAAACUUCUCAUGUGCCACGUCAAGCGUUUAACACUUCCAUUGCUUCUCGUCAAGUUAACGUCGGAACCUUGAUAUCGCCAAAUAUUAAAAGGCACUAUUUAGACUCAAAGAUGUACAUCAAAACUAUUGGAUCGCUACUUUUGCUUGCUUGCCUGUUGUUUGUGACCGUAGAAAAGAGUCUCGGCUCUGAUGCACUGACUGGGAGAGACGCCAGGUUACAAGGACCUGAAACGGAUAAAAUAAUAGAAGCAUCUCCAAACUUCGACCCUCUCUCAGCUAUCAACAUGAAGAAGAGGUCAGAUGACGACGAUGAUGAUGAAUAUCAAGGCGAUUUUUAAUUAAAAUUAAUUGCUAUGCGAAACACAUCACCCGACCUCUAUAAACGUUUUACUUUAUUACUGAGGCAGUGGCUAGCUUUGAGAGAGCAUUUGACUUUUCCUGUGAGUGUAAAGAAAAAAACCUUCGAUUAAAGUUAUAUGACAAGUUCUC